AAGUGGCCUGCAGAAGGAGGAACAAUGGAUGCACAGUCUGCAUCACAGGGAAAACCCCUGACACCUCAGGCAGCAGAGCAGCUCCCAGGCAUUUCCCUCUCAGCAUCUUGACCCUCUUUCUCCUCUCCCACAAGAAUUUACUCAGCCCCCAAGGGGAUGUUAUUUUGGAUUGUAUAACUUGCUGGAGUUAAACAGCUUUAUAGCACUAUUCAGGCACAAGGCUUUACCUCUCACUUACAAGUUUAUUUCACUCUGCAGGGAUCAUAAAGCAACUUUCAAAUUACCAGCCAGUACUGCUGGGGCACAGAAGAAACCAUUGUGGUGCAAAGUCCACUGAGCAGAGCAUGUAAGUGUAGCAAUGCUUUUAACCCCUCUCUGCAUGGGAAUCUGGAAACAGAUGGUAAAUGCCCAAAGGAUGGGUGGUACUGAGGGGGAGGGGAGGAGGUGGACCAUGAGCAUUUUGGUUCAGGUAGUCUGUAUCUUGGUUCAGUGCACUUCCAAAGCACAGACAUGUGACCAGGGCUUCCUCAGAGGGCUCCUCCAGUGAGAGCAACAACAUCCCUGCCUUCCUACCCACUGGAGGGGACCUCACCGACAUAGAGGUAGUGAUGAGAGCAAUGCCCUAAUGCUGCCCACUCUCUAAAGGAAAUGAAAAUUAUUGCACAUAUUUAACAGCAGUCUAUUAAAUUUGGUGUUUGACUUAAGCAUCCACAAGUAAUCAUACAAAAUCUCAGCUUUGGUACUUCAUGCAGACCUAGACACUCACUUACAAAGCAAAUGUGCAGGAUGCAAAUGAAACAUAAGCAGAAGGUAGCCUAGGGGGUCCGAGCCCCGAAGGCAUAUAACGCAUUGAUUCAAUUUUUGGAAGGGAUUUCUUGUUUAUUAAACCAACCACUUGAAAUUAAUUGGAAAGCAAAGUCUUGAUCUUGGCAGAUUUAAAUCAUAAAUAUUCAACUUUCACUUAUCUCCUAAACAUAGCCAACAGUGAAGGUCGGACUUGGAGAGGGAAAACAGGACUUGCAUGGUCUCAGUGGGUGGAAGCUGUUGGUGCUAGCUCAGCUCACAGGACACGAGUGGAGGAGGAGUGACGCUGGCUCCAAUUGCAGACACUUUUGUCCAAGUGUGUGGAGGUUGGCCUUUGGUCCAGACCUAUGAAGACAUAACAGCAAAGAAGCAAGGCACACAAGGUUGCUCAUGGUACUGUGCUGAUGUGAGUGUUUGGCUUCUGGGCCAGACAGGCUUGCAUCUGUCCAGCUCAGUGCAUGGGCUCAUGCAGACAGGCAUGCACUAAAUCUGAUCCCAGGGCCAUUCCCCGACAGAACCACAAAAUAAACACAUGCGCAUUGACUGCUUUCUAGAGUAUACCGGAUGUUAAUGAGCAGAAUAAUUUGUAGUGGCUUGACUACUGCCUUUUUUUUUUAGCUUGUGGCUAAUGCAUGAAGGCGUUUCUGAUCAUAACUAUGCCAAUAACCUAUUGUCACGUCAGCUAUUGCUAACAGCAUUUACUCAAACAAAAUAUUGAUGGAGCUCUUUUUUAUUGCACAGAAAAAACCAAGUGGGCAUGCUUUCAAGAAUCACAGUCAGAGUACAGUAUGUCUGCAUUUAAUUAUGGGGUUGGAGCAAUUAACACUUGGGCUCUGCUUUGUUCUGUAUUCCAUGGCUGGUUGUUGAGAAAAUACAAUUCUCAAAAGCUUGCCAUUUAAAAUGUAUUUAGCCUAUUUUUAGUUAGCGUGAAGGGGUUUACCUACAGUUGCUUAGGGCUAUGAAGGUUGGGCUAAGACUCGGGAGACCCUGAUUCAAUCCAAAGUGCUCUUUGUGACAGUGGAAAAGUCUUAAUUCGUGCUGAUGUUGCACUGGCCUGCUGGAGAAUUACUCCUUGCUGUAAGGCAGGGAUUCCAUUAGCUGUAAAGUGCUCAAAAUCUGAGCUACUUAAAAAAUAUCAGUGUUUUCUCACGUUUUAUUAUUAAUGUAUGACACUAAUAACAAUUUUCAUCAGGCAUUCACUGAUAACUAGAGACCCUUAAACCAAAACAUUAUACAAUGUGCAACCUAUAUAGCUUUGUGCCUUUUUCAUGAAUUCUCUUAAACAUCUAAGUCUGACCUAAUUCAAAAUUAUAUAUCUCAAGUAUGUAUCUUAGAUUAAAACAUAUGUUUCAGACCCACUGAAAAAGUUACAGUACUAAAGACCUCCUUUUUAUUAUUUCCCCUCACAACUUCACCUUGCAACACUUUCUUAAUUGCAAAACAAUUUUGGCUUGAACUUCUGUGUCUCAGUCUGCUGUACUGUGACCUAAAGAACAGUACAUACACAUGCAGAAAUUAACUGGUCCCUUAGGAGUACUCUUGUGCUGGAGAGUGAAGGAGGAGAAGGCAGAUUUGCAAAUAGCUAUAUUUUCUUUCACCAACUUAAUUGCUUCUGUUUGGAACUUUUAAAAUCUCACCUUACCAUGCAGUCAUUUUCAAAGUGAGCACAGCAUGACUGACCCCCAAAAAAAUCUGUUUGCUUUUUUAUUAUAAUUUUGGUUGUGAUAUUUUAUUAGUGGAGGCUGCAACACCUCAGAGGAGUAACACUCGGCUGGUUGUGGCACUUCUGGCAUUUCCUAGAUUAUACUCUGAUUAACUCUGCUAUAUUAAUAAAGACCUUUUAAUAUGCUUUUGUGAGAGUAAUUUCCUAGGGAUUUCAGGAAAGCAUAUGGAAAAACAAACUGCAUCACAUGGCAUCACACUGACACUUCUGCGAGUCAUCAGAGUUGGACCUUUGGAUCUCUAGCGUCACAGGAGGCAUGACACCCUGAUCACAUUACGGAUUACAGCAUCAGGAACCAGAGUUUUCAAAUUUUCACCUGAUCCUUUUCGUCGGCUCUCCAGAGCUUCCAUGCACCAGAGCAUGACCACAGCUGACUCCUCUUGGACCCAAAAGGGAGAGAGCUAAAAGGCAGCAGAGAAACAAACCUCUGUUGCCUUCUCUGAUUACAGCUGCAGAAUGAUUUUGAGAAAUUGCUAUUGAGAAAUACAUCAACAUAUUGUUGAUGCCUUUGGCUUAGUGAGUGAUGAUCUAAUUUCUGUUCAAUUGACCAGCAGCCAAUUCACAUUUGGAUCAAAGAUUGAAACACGGCUUGUUUCUUAUUAGGGUGAGCUGGUCAUUACAGUGAAUCAUAACAACCCUUAGUAAGGGAUUAAUCCUGCAAAAUGAUGAACACUUUGAAGGAGGGCAGGUGCUCAGUGUACCACCAACCUUGUUCUUCAUGUUACCAAGUCACACCAUUUCUAUGAAUCUGACCUGCCAAAUUAUUCAUGAAGCCCUAUUCUGUAAAUACAGACAUUCAUACAGACAAAUAUGUUGUACUGUUCGCCAAGGAAGGAAAAAUUGAUUAUACUCUAUGCUCCUCAUUCACACCUGCAUUAUGGAAGACUUAGGUCAAUCUAAACCAAAUCUAAACUAAAACUGUGGGAAAUGGUCUUUCAAUGAUUUGUCUAUUUUACUCUGAUUUCUGUCACAGAUCACCAGAAUAAACCAAAUGCACUGGGCAGUCAUAAAUAGAUCUAUCCUACUUUUGUCUAAAAAUAAAAAGCUGCUUUAACUUAAUCAGUAGUAGCAGUUGCAUGGCACAAAUGAGAAGAUUACUGGAAUUAGUUUAGAUAAUAAAAAUGCUCUGUGUCCCUCAUUAAAAGUCUUAACAAGAGUAACUAAAAUUGAAAGGAACAGUUGAAAGAUCAGGGUCAACAUCUGUUUAAUUUUUAGCUAUUUUAAUUCUAGUUCAUGAUUAUUUUAGAAGCUAUACGAAAGAGUCAAAGGAGAAAGAGCAAUGGGAAGAAGACAGAGUUCUUCAGGGGACAAUUCAUCAGUUGAUUCAACAUAUGGUGUAUGAGAAAACAGCAAAUAGAACAGAGUUCUCUUAGUCAUAAGCUAAUAAUAAAGCCUCUAGCCACUGUCCAGGGUAGGGUCAGGCCUUCAGCACUUUGAAUUUCUGACUGGUGACACGUUGCAAGAAAUCCAGCGCACAUGAACAACACAUGCUGUCUCUGGUGAAAGCAGCACUGACAGGAGCCACUCACAGUAUGCCAAAAGUUCCCAUUUUGUCACUCAGUGUCCCCAGGCUCACUGCACCUUAGUUCAGCAUGUAGCUAAGGGGCUUCCAUGUUAAAGAAUAGCUGAGGAAGGCCCUUGUGCCAUCAACAGAGGCAUAGAUGGGGAACCUUUCAGAGGAUCAGUCAUAUUUCUUGCAGACUAAGAACAGCUUGCUUUCUUUACCCCAUAAUCAGUCCAAGGUCAUUUGGCUUCAUCAGUGCACGGUAAAAAAGCUUUAAGAGACAUCAAAUGACCUCUUCCUUAUGGCCAGACCAAAAAGAAGAAAGUAAACACUUCUGCCUUCUCCUUAGUUUAAUUUCUGCCUUAGAUGUUGCCUGGGGCCUGAGAUCUCUGAAUUCAAAGAUGAAAAAAUGAAGCACACUGAAAAGGAUGAGUUCCUUCUUUUUUUUUCUCUCUGAGGACUCCUCAGGCUUUUAUUCACUACGUAAAGUAGAGCAAUCCAGCUACCCUUUCUGCAUUACAAACUUUGCUAAUAAAACCCAAAAUCAGACAAUAAAAGCACACUUUCUCCUGA